GACGAACGCUGGCGGCGUGCUUAACACAUGCAAGUCGUACGGUAAGGCCCUUUCGGGGGUACACGAGUGGCGAACGGGUGAGUAACACGUGAGUAACCUGCCCACAACUUUGGGAUAACGCUAGGAAACUGGUGCUAAUACUGGAUAUGUGCUCCUGCUGCAUGGUGGGGGUUGGAAAGCUCCGGCGGUUGUGGAUGGACUCGCGGCCUAUCAGCUUGUUGGUGGGGUAGUGGCCUACCAAGGCGGCGACGGGUAGCCGGCCUGAGAGGGUGACCGGCCACAUUGGGACUGAGUUACGGCCCAGACGCCUACGGGGGGCAGCAGUGGGGAGUAGUGCACAAUGGGCGCCAGCCUGAUGCAGCAACGCCGCGUGCGGGAUGACUGCCGUCGGGUUGCAAACCGCUUUCAGCAGGGACGAAGCUUUGUGUGACGGUACCUGCAGAAGAAGCACCGGCUAACUACGUG
rnacentral:rRNA from 1 species